CCACGCUUGUGGUCGUCACUGUAGUGCUCAGUUGAAUGGUGUGUCCAUUGGGGUUGGAGUCCCCAUCCUGUUCUGGGUCCUGGCCCCCCACAGGCUCCAGGGACAUAACCCUUCCAGUUCAGGAUCAUGUGCUGGGGCACUGUUCCCUGAGGUGGGACUCUGGGCUGUAACAGCUGCUUUUGAAGCAUGUUCCAGCUUCAACCACGUGCUUGGACGACACCAGCUCUUCCCACAUACUCUUCCCCAGCUCUUGUGUUGAGUUUGGCUUCCACCUUCCUCCAGCUGGUUCUACUCCCGCGAGACCCUCAUGAAGUCCUGAGGUUGCCUCUCG
rnacentral:lncRNA from 1 species